rnacentral:rRNA from 1 species
AUUGAACGCUGGCGGCAGGCCUAACACAUGCAAGUCGAGCGGAGCGGCGGACGGGUGAGUAAGGCCUAGGAAUCGGCCUGGUAGUGGGGGAUAAAGUCCGGAAACGGGCGCUAAUACCGCCUACUAUCACAUGAGUAUAGGUCGGAUUGGCUAGUUGGUGGGGUAAAGGCCUACCAAGGCGACGACCCGUAACUGGUCUGGGAGGAUGAUCAGUCACACUGGAACUGAGACACGGUCCAGACUCCUACGGUAGGCAGCAGUGGGGAAUAUUUGACAAUGGGCGAAAGCCUGAUCCAGCCAUGCCGCGUGUGUGAAGAAGGUCUUCGGAUUGUAAAGCACUUGCAGUUGGGAGGCGUUACCAACAGAAUAAGCACCGGCUAACUUCGUGCCAGCCGCCGCGGUAAUAC